rnacentral:rRNA from 1 species
GACGAACGCUGGCGGCGUGCUUAACACAUGCAAGUCGUACGGUAAGGCCCUUUCGGGGGUACACGAGUGGCGAACGGGUGAGUAACACGUGAGUAACCUGCCCACAACUUUGGGAUAACGCUAGGAAACUGGUGCUAAUACUGGAUAUGUGCUCCUGCUGCAUGGUGGGGGUUGGAAAGCUCCGGCGGUUGUGGAUGGACUCGCGGCCUAUCAGCUUGUUGGUGGGGUAGUGGCCUACCAAGGCGGCGACGGGUAGCCGGCCUGAGAGGGUGACCGGCCACAUUGGGACUGAGAUACGGCCCAGACUCCUACGGGAGGCAGCAGUGGGGAAUAUUGCACAAUGGGCGCAAGCCUGAUGCAGCAACGCCGCGUGCGGGAUGACGGCCUUCGGGUUGUAAACCGCUUUCAGCAGGGACGAAGCUUUUUGUGACGGGACCUGCAGAAGAAGCACCGGCUAACUACGU